rnacentral:rRNA from 1 species
UACGGAGGGUGCAAGCGUUAAUCGGAAUUACUGGGCGUAAAGAGUACGUAGGUUGUUCGUUUAGUCAGAUGUGAAAGCCCAGGGCUUAACCUUGGAACUGCAUUUGAUACUGGCGAGCUAGAGUAUGGUAGAGGGGGGUAGAAUUCAUAGUGUAGCGGUGAAAUGCGUAGAUAUUAUGAGGAAUACCGGUGGCGAAGGCGGCCCCCUGGCCCAAUACUGACACUGAGGUACGAAAGCGUGGGGAGCGAACAGG